rnacentral:lncRNA from 1 species
AGAGAUAAACAGAAGUAAAAAUUACACCAAGAUUUUUACGUGGUUCAGCCCCUAUCCUCUAAUCUAGUGGCCUAAUCCACGUCCAAUCCCAACUAGGAUUGGAGACUCUUUUUAUUAAACUUAAUAUUCAAUUAAAUACAAUAAAAAGAACUCCCUGUUACAAAGAAGCUUUCCACUGAUGGACACCUCUGCCCCCGUUGCACCUCUGCAACCUUGAAAGCUCUCUUUGAACAGACCCUAUCCACUAUUGGAUCGAUCAAGCCAGACAAGCUUUGAACUUUGAAUAUAAUAGAAGAAAUUACAAUAGACUUCUUAUUUUCCAGCCACAAAGAAUUAUAGAUAGUACAAUGAAUAGCUGGAAAUAAACAAUGAAAGCUCUCAAUAGGAUUCUUCUCUAUAUAGCAACAUGAAUUAGCUUCUUGUAUCCCUAUCCUGCUUAGCCGUGAGAUAAGACUAUAUAUAAAGAGAGACCCAACGGCUAUAAAAUCUGUUAGCAAAGAAAUCUCAGUCCCGUUAGCAAUCAUCCAUAAUUUUAACAGCUUUGUAUUACCAGAAAUCAAUUAUACGCCUGCUAUUUGAUUUUGACGAGCUGAAAUAAAGGAGAGAAAUUCUAUCCAUAAACAACUGUGUUAAACAGGAACAAAGGAGAUAAUUAAGGAUAAGACCCAAAAUCUUCUUUAAGUCUCCUUUUCAAAAUAGACUACUAACUCAUGUGGGCUCCACUAAGCAAGAUAAAAUCCUUAAAUAAAAUAGCACCCACGGAAUACUCUGUGAUGAAUUAGAAGUACCAAUUUGGGCUAGCUGGAAUAACAUUUAAUAACAUAAACCCAUCUAAUAAUAUUUGAUAUCAUUAAAAAUUAUAAAUACCAACAUUCCUUAAUAAACUCAAAUUUAAAUCAUCCUUAAUAAACUCCAAAUCAAAUCUUCCAUAAUAGACUCCAAAUCAAAUCUUCCUUAAAAGUGUUCAUGUAAUAACCAUAACCCAUGCAUAUUAAUUAUAAUAUUAUAACAAACCAUGAGCCAUGCACAUGUCUAAUAUACUUAAAUUAGUCAUUAUUCAAAAUAUCAUAAAAUCAAAAACUAACAUUCUCCCCCUUUUUGAUGAUGACAAUUUAUGCACCAACAUGCCCCCCCGAAGUAUAUGGCUCCCCCUAAAUUUAUGCAUAUUAAGGAGCAAAAGAAAAUUACUUUAUCCAAAUUGCAUAUUCAAACCAUCAUUGCAUAUUCCAACAUAAUAUAGUAUCUCAAUAUCAACAUGAAUACUAAUUUAAACCAAUUUAAAUAUAUCCAAAUAUCUCUCCCCCUUUGUCAUUAUCAAAAAGAAAUAAAUCAUCAAGUUAUAUCUCUCCCCCUUUGUCAUCAACAAAAAUAAUUCAUAUCAAUGUAGUUGAAGUUAGUUAUCUCACCCCAUUUGCCAAAUUAAAAAAAAUAAGCAUAGAGAAUGACAAUAGAGUAAGGUUAUAACAAAAUCACAUAUAACAAGUAAACAAUAUAAUCAUACCUUUGUAAUUUGUUAUCUAUAUAUCAACCUUUUAUCAAGAUUGUCAUGUAUAUUAAAUAUGGAGCAUUUGACAUAAUAAAUGAUGUUAUGAACCCUUGUAAUACGAAAUCCAUGGAGUUUUUAUAAUAAUAUAUCUAAUUAAAACUCUAUUUAAAAACAACAUGAGGUACUUACAGAUUCCGCCAAAUAAUUUAUAAGUAACUUACUCUCUCAAAGUAAAGAAUCAUCUAUCUCUUUUUGAUCUUGAGACACCUACAAACAAAUAGUCUCUAUCUUUUUGGUACCCAAAUCUUCUUGGGUCCUUUUGGGUUAGUAGCAUAUAAAUCACUUUUCUUUACCCAAAUUUAUUUUAUUCUAAUUUUAUUGCAAUUAGAAUCAAAAUGACCUUUAAAACCACAUGUUUUACAAGUAACAAAUGCUGAACAAUAAAGUGGUUUAUUCCUUGACUUACUAUUAAUCAUUCUAAUAUUAUUAUUAGUCCUAUUUUCCACAUUUUUAAUAGGAUUAUACAUAAUCCCUUGUUUAUCAAGACUGGACCUUUGUGCCCCUAAAAUAACAUUUAGGUUCUCUUCUCCUUGCACAAAUUUAGCAAGAUCAUUUUUUAAAGAUACUAUUUCUGCAUUCAUUACAUUAUCAUCAUAUUGAAAAUUCAUAAUUUUUCCAUCAUUAAAAGCAUCUAUGCAUACAUCUCUCAUUUUUAAUUUUUUUUUUAAAAUUUGAUUUUCAUUUUUAAGAUAUUCAUUUUCUUUUCUUUCUUCAAUAAGUGACUCAACUUUAUUCAUUAGCUCAUUUACGCAGUUCUUGAAAUAAGCAGUUUUCUUUUUAAGCCUUUGAUUUUCAUUUUGUAAAGCAAGAUAAUCAGAUGUAGAUAUUUCAAAAUUUUCAUGAAAAUUAGUUACCUCAAGUUGAUCAUCGUCUUCUAGUCCCAUGAAACAUAAUUGGCCAAUUUCUUCAUCUUGUUCUAUUUUGGACUUGCUCAUUGGAGUUGAGAUACCUUCUUGAUUCUUCCUUUGUUUCUUUCUUUGAAGUAGUCUCUCGAGUUUUCUUGAGAGUAUUUCAAUUUCUUAAUCAAAAUCUUCAUCAUUGCCUUCUAUGUAGCUUUCAGCUUGUAGAGCCAAGGUCUUCUCCUUAGGUGCCUCAUCUUCUUCAUCGUACAAUUUUAAUUGGUUUUCAAACUCUUCAAGUUCUCCAAAUAAGGUAAGAGUUUCCAUUGUACUAAUUGUGACUGAGUCUUGAAGUGUAGUAACCUUUGGAGCGAAUCGCUUUGGCAUCACUCUGAGAAGCUUUCGGUUUAUUUCCUUUUGAUCAAUCUUUCGUCCGAGCAUGCUUAAAGAAUUCAUUAGAGUGAGGAAUCUUGCUUGGGCAUCUCUAAUUGAUUCAUUUUUCUCCAACUGGAAUAGUUCAUAUUCAUGCAUUAACAUGCUCAGUUUGACCUCCUUCACUUAAGUAGUUCCCUCGUGGCUCAUGAUGAUAGUAUGCCACAUUUCUUUUGCUGUGUUGCACGAUGAUACUUUAUCAAUUUCAUCUUGGACCAUUCCGCUUAGCAAGGUGUUCAUGGCUCUUGAGUUGUAGGAAAACAUAUAGCUUUCGUUUGCAUCCAUCUCCAUGAGAGUCUUUGCUUUGCCAUUAUCAUGUCUAGGAAUGACAGGUCCAUUUUUGACUACCCACCAUUCCCAUGGGUCACGGUUCAGAUAGAUCUUCAUUCUGAACUUCCAAAAAUUGAAGUUUUCACUUCCGAGCAACAGCGGUGGCCUAUUUGUGGACUGACCUUCUUGAAAAUUUAGGUGUGCCAUAGGAUCUUCCCCUACGACCUGCAAUGAUCAAUAUUAGUAGAGCCUUGCUAUGACACCAAAUGUAAUUCUAUGUAUGUGCACACCUAGAGGGAGGGUGAAUAGGUGUUUAAGCUAAAAGUGAUAAACGGUGAAAACUUUUGAAAUUUAUGCAACAGGUUUAAUUCAGACAGCUACGCCUGUCUGCUUUAGUGUCUGUUUUAGCUUAUGUUCUUUGUUUCUUAUUAUUAGACAGCUAGACCUGUCUGCUUUAGUGUCUGGAUAGUGACGUGAAUAAUAAAAAAGUGCACAACGUGAAUGACUGUUAAAGAGAUAAACAGAAGUAAAAAUCACACUAAGAUUUUUACGUGGUUCAGCCCCUAUCCUCUAAUCUAGUGGCCUAAUCCACGUCCAAUCCCAACUAGGAUUGGAGAUUCUUUUUAUUAAACUUAAUAUUCAAUUAAAUACAAUAAAAAGAACUCCCUGUUACAAAGAAGCUUUCCACUGAUGGACACCUCUGCCCCCUUUGCACCUCUGCAACCUUUCUCACCACUGAGACCUUUGCACCUCUGCAACCUUGAAAGCUCUCUUUGAACAGACCCUAUCCACUACUGGAUCGAUCAAGCCAGACAAGCUUUGAACUUUGAAUAUAAUAGAAGAAAUUACAAUAGAC